rnacentral:rRNA from 1 species
AUUGAACGCUGGCGGCAUGCCUUACACAUGCAAGUCGAACGGCAGCACGGGAGCAAUCCUGGUGGCGAGUGGCGAACGGGUGAGUAAUAUAUCGGAACGUGCCCAGUCGUGGGGGAUAACGUAGCGAAAGCUACGCUAAUACCGCAUACGAUCUAUGGAUGAAAGCGGGGGAUCGCAAGACCUCGCGCGAUUGGAGCGGCCGAUAUCAGAUUAGGUAGUUGGUGGGGUAAAAGCCUACCAAGCCUUCGAUCUGUAGCUGGUCUGAGAGGACGACCAGCCACACUGGAACUGAGACACGGUCCAGACUCCUACGGGAGGCAGCAGUGGGGAAUUUUGGACAAUGGGCGCAAGCCUGAUCCAGCAAUGCCGCGUGCAGGAUGAAGGCCUUGG